UAGGGAAUAUUGCACAAUGGGCGAAAGCCUGAUGCAGCAACGCCGCGUGCGCGAAGAAGGUCUUCGGAUCGUAAAGCGCUUUUCUGGGAGAUGAGAAAGGACAGUAUCCCAGGAAUAAGUCUCGGCUAACUACGUGCCAGCAGCCGCGGUAACACGUAGGAGGCGAGCGUUAUCCGGAUUCACUGGGCGUAAAGCGCGUGCAGGCGGUUCGGUAAGUUGGGCGUGAAAUCUCCCGGCUCAACUGGGAGAGGUCGUUCAAUACUACCGGACUUGAGAGCGAUAGAGGAAAAUGGAAUUCCGGUGUAGUGGUGAAAUGCGUAGAUAUCGGGAGGAACACCCAGUGGCGAAAGCGAUUUUCUGGAUCGUUUCUGACGCUCAGACGCGAAAGCUAGGGUAGCAAACGGGAUUAGAGACCCCGGUAGUCCUAGCCGUAAACGAUGUGAACUUGGCGUCGGUGGCUUAAACUCCAUCGGUCCGAACCCAACGCGAUAAGUUCACCGCCUGGGGACUACGACCGCAAGGUUA
rnacentral:rRNA from 1 species